AGGGAAGGUCCGGGGCGUUAUCCGGAUUUAUUGGGUUUAAGGGAGCGUAGGCCGGAGAUUAAGCGUGUUGUGAAAUGUAGACGCUCAACGUCUGCACUGCAGCGCGAACUGGUUUCCUUGAGUACGCACAAAGUGGGCGGAAUUCGUGGUGUAGCGGUGAAAUGCUUAGAUAUCACGAAGAACUCCGAUUGCGAAGGCAGCUCACUGGAGCGCAACUGACGCUGAAGCUCGAAAGUGCGGGUAUCGAACAGGAUUAGAUACCCUGGUAGUCCGCACGGUAAACGAUGGAUGCCCGCUGUUGGUCUGAACAGGUCAGCGGCCAAGCGAAAGCAUUAAGCAUCCCACCUGGGGAGUACGCCGGCAACGGUGAAACUCAAAGGAAUUGACGGGGGCCCGCACAAGCGGAGGAACAUGUGGUUUAAUUCGAUGAUACGCGAGGAACCUUACCCGGGCUUGAAUUGCAGAGGAAGGAUUUGGAGACAAUGACGCCCUUCGGGGUCUCUGUGAAGGUGCUGCAUGGUUGUCGUCAGCUCGUGCCGUGAGGUGUCGGCUUAAGUGCCAUAACGAGCGCAACCCCUCUCCUUAGUUGCCAUCAGGUCAGGCUGGGCACUCUGGGGGCACUGCCACCGUAAGGUGUGAGGAAGGUGGGGAUGACGUCAAAUCAGCACGGCCCUUACGUCCGGGGCUACACACGUGUUACAAUGGCAGGUACAGAGAGACGGUUGUACGUAAGUACGAUCAAAUCCUUAAAGCCUGUCUCAGUUCGGACUGGGGUCUGCAACCCGACCCCACGAAGCUGGAUUCGCUAGUAAUCGCGCAUCAGCCAUGGCGCGGUGAAUACGUUCCCGGGCCUUGUACUCACCGCCCGU
rnacentral:rRNA from 1 species